rnacentral:lncRNA from 1 species
AAAGCAAACUUAACCCAAUUAGAGCCCCUCUUUUUAAACAGUAACCAGACAAACACAAACCCUGAUCACUAACCAAAUAGUAUAGAAUACUAUUCUAUACUAUUUGGUUAGUGCCCUGAUAUAAAGCGGUUUAUAAGCAUAUUCCAGGCGGAAGUUUUCGCUAUCAAGAAAACAGCAGAGGUCGCUUGCACAUAGUAGGACCACACGAUGGGGUCGUCCGCUCUGCUGUUAGUUUCAGAAGUGUCCUGGCGAGCAAUAAGACACUAAAUACCCUAAGUACGACAAAGUCAGUGCGGAUCUACUGGUCUCCCAGACAUCUGGGCAUUUCAAGGAAACGAGGCAGCGGACGUUGUACAUAAGGAAGGCAUCGGGCUGGCGAUUGACAGACUCGACAACGUGUCGGUCAUUCAUAGAAACAAAGUGGCCCAAGUAAAUGCUCUAGAUAAAUGUUCUCUGAUUACAUUUCAAAUUUUAAG